GUGUCAGCCGCCGCGGUAAUACGUAGGGUGCGAGCGUUGUCCGGAUUUACUGGGCGUAAAGAGCUCGUAGGCGGUUUGUCACGUCGUCUGUGAAAACCCGAGGCUUAACCUCGGGCCUGCAGGCGAUACGGGCAGACUUGAGUACUGUAGGGGAGACUGGAAUUCCUGGUGUAGCGGUGGAAUGCGCAGAUAUCAGGAGGAACACCGGUGGCGAAGGCGGGUCUCUGGGCAGUAACUGACGCUGAGGAGCGAAAGCGUGGGUAGCGAACAGGAUUAGAUACCCUGGUAGUCCACGCCGUAAACGGUGGGUACUAGGUGUGGGUUUCCUUCCACGGGAUCCGUGCCGUAGCUAACGCAUUAAGUACCCCGCCUGGGGAGUACGGCCGCAAGGCUAAAACUCAAAUGAAUUGACGG
rnacentral:rRNA from 1 species